rnacentral:rRNA from 1 species
CUACGGGAGCUGCAGUGGGGAAUAUUGGACAAUGGGCGAAAGCCUGAUCCAGCCAUGCCGCGUGUGUGAAGAAGGCCUUCGGGUUGUAAAGCACUUUCAGUGGGGAAGAAAGCCUUGGGGCUAAUACCCUCGAGGAAGGACAUCACCCACAGAAGAAGCACCGGCUAACUCCGUGUCAGCAGCCGCGGUAAUACGGAGGGUGCGAGCGUUAAUCGGAAUUACUGGGCGUAAAGCGCGCGUAGGCGGUCUGAUAAGCCGGUUGUGAAAGCCCCGGGCUCAACCUGGGAACGGCAUCCGGAACUGUCAGGCUAGAGUGCAGGAGAGGAAGGUAGAAUUCCCGGUGUAGCGGUGAAAUGCGUAGAGAUCGGGAGGAAUACCAGUGGCGAAGGCGGCCUUCUGGACUGACACUGACGCUGAGGUGCGAAAGCGUGGGUAGCAAACAGGAUUAGAUACCCGAGUAGUC